CUAGUCUUAUCGGUGGGUCACUCGGCUCGUGGAUCGAUGAAGAACGCAGCCAACUGCGAUAAUUAGUGUGAACUGCAGAAACCUUGAACACAGAACUUUCGAAUGCACAUUGCGCCAUUGGAGUGACAUCCAUUGGCACGCCUGGUUCAGGGUCGUAA
rnacentral:rRNA from 1 species